GACGUAGGGUGCAAGCGUUGUCCGGAUUUACUGGGCGUAAAGAGCGCGUAGGCGGCUCGUUAAGUGUGAAGCUAAAUCUCUUGGCUCAACCAAGAAAUCAUUUCGCAUACUGGCGGGCUGGAGUGAUGCAGAGGUGGAUAGAAUUCCCGGUGUAGCGGUGAAAUGCGUUGAUAUCGGGAGGAAUACCCGUGGCGAAGGCGGUCCACUGGGCAUCAACUGACGCUGAGGCGCGAAAGCGUGGGUAGCAAACAGG
rnacentral:rRNA from 1 species